GAUGGGAUGUAGCAGAAGCCGCUGCAGCAGCUCCUGAUUUUGGAGCAAAGAUAAAUCCUCUGAUUGAUUUGCUGUGAAGUUCUUCAUUUGGUGACUAAUGCAGAUGUACCGGAUGAGCCUGGCAAAAUCUCUGACCCUUUCUGGUCUUCUCUAUUGUUUCUCACAUGAACAGUCCCACGGAUGCCACUAGAGGAUGAAGGCUCUUAUUCUGGAUAUCAGUCCACUGUUGGAGGUACAGUUGGCAAGGACUUUCUUCCAUCCUGUGAGGCUGCCUCUUCACAGCUUCUUUCGCUCUAUAAAAGUUUUAAAAAUUAAAAAAAAAUCACUUUACAGUGUGUGUGUGUGUGUGUGUGUGUGUGUGUGUGUGUGUACCACAGUGAUUGUGUAGUGGUCAGAGGACAACUUGUGGGAGUCAGUUCUUUCCUUCUGCCCUGUCUGGGGACUGAACUCAGAUCAUUAUGCCUCACGGUGUGCACCUUGGCCCACUUGGCCAUGUCUUGCUGGCGCUGUAGAAGCUUUGCAACAUCAUGAGGUCUCAUCUGUCAAUUGUUGGCUGCUGCACUCUUUUAAUAACAACUUUUGCUGAACACUUACGAUAGUGAUAGUUAUUUCUCUAAGUGCUUCUAGCAAGGGGAGUCUAACUUUUUAACAGUUGCCACACACUGGGUUAAUCACCACUCUUG
ensembl:lncRNA